GAACCCAGUGCCUCAUGCAUGCUAGGCAAGCGCUCUACCACUGAGCCACACCCCAGCCCCAGAUACAAAUAUAUUUUAUAUGAAAACUUUAGAUUGCAUCAGAAUCUCUUGCAAAGCCAGAUUUCAGAGAUGGAGACAGAGCUGCCCCACUAGAUAAGUGCCUGCUGGGAGCAGAGAUGGGGCUGCGCACCUGAGUCUGCUCUCUGCAAGGCCCGGAGGGGACUCACCAAGGAAAAGAUACUGAACUUUUUGAGGAAAGGUGAAUUUUCGAGCUUUCUUUGUUAAUCAUGAAAAAACUUCUGCAUCGCAAGAGAAAGACAACAGUAAGCAAAAUGGUCAAAGGAAAUGAUGCACCCGAAAAUAAUUCCCAGAAAAUAGAAGUACCUCUGCAAAUUGUUCCAGAAAACAAAAUUUGAGACGCGGGGAGGAAGUCCUUUAAAAAACUUGAUUUGAGAGCUGGGGUUGUGGCUCAGUGGUAGAGUGCUCGCCUAGCACAUGCAAGGCCCUGGUUUUGAUCCUCAGACCACCUAAAAAUACAAUAAAUGUAUUGUGUAACUACAACUAAAAAAUUAUAUAUAUUUAAGUUGUAGUUGGACACAAUAUUUUAUUUAUUUAUUUUUAUGUGGUGCUGAGAAUGGAACCCAGGGCCUCCUAUGCGCUAGGCGAGCGCUCUACCACUGAGCCACAAUCUAGCCCCCCCCCCCAAAAAAAAAUUUGAUUUGAUUGCAGAACAUAUAAAAAUGUAUGAAGACUCAUUAUAUUUUACUUAUAAGACAGAAACAAUAUAUUGUGUGAUUCUAUUGGCCUAGAAAUAGAAGUAGAUUAGUAGCUACUGGGGGCUGAGAGAUAGGGGUAAGAGAAACAAGUGCUAAUGAGAUGAGAUUUUUUUUAAAAAGUUUUUUUAGUUAUUGACAGACCUUUAUCUUAUUUGUUUAUACACAAUGCUGAGAAUCGAACCCAGUACCUCACACGUGCCAGGAAAGUGCGCUACUGCUGAGCCCCAGCCCCAGCCUCGAGAUGAGAUUUCUUUGAGGGCUGAGAAAAAUGCUCAGGAAUCAGAUCGUGGUGAUGGUUGUGAGUGCUCUAAAAGCUGAGUUGUGGACCUUAAAAUGCUACGUAACAAAACUGGCUGCAGUGGUACACACGUGUAAUCCCAGCGACUCCGGAGGCUGAAGCUGGAGGAUCACACACUCAAGGCCAGCCUUAGCAACUUACUGAAUCCUGUCUCAAAACAAAACAAAACAAAAAGCAGGACAUGAUGUAGCUCAGUGGUAGAAUAUUCCUGGGUUUAUUCACUAGGACUGAUGGGAGGUAGCCGUGAAAAAACCUAAAAGGACCAAUAAUUGUAGGAAAAAAAAUUAAGUUAUCAAAGACUUUGUCC
rnacentral:lncRNA from 1 species